rnacentral:rRNA from 1 species
UCCUACGGGAGGCAGCAGUGGGGAAUAUUGCACAAUGGGCGAAAGCCUGAUGCAGCUACGCCGCGUGAGGGAUGAAGGCCUUCGGGUUGUAAACCUCUUUUAGCAGGGAAGAAGCGAAAGUGACGGUACCUGCAGAAAAAGCACCGGCUAACU